AUUGAACGCUGGCGGCAUGCCUUACACAUGCAAGUCGAACGGUAACAGGUCUUCGGAUGCUGACGAGUGGCGAACGGGUGAGUAAUACAUCGGAACGUGCCCGAUCGUGGGGGAUAACGAGGCGAAAGCUUUGCUAAUACCGCAUACGAUCUACGGAUGAAAGCGGGGGAUCUUCGGACCUCGCGCGGACGGAGCGGCCGAUGGCAGAUUAGGUAGUUGGUGGGAUAAAAGCUUACCAAGCCGACGAUCUGUAGCUGGUCUGAGAGGAUGAUCAGCCACACUGGGACUGAGACACGGCCCAGACUCCUACGGGAGGCAGCAGUGGGGAAUUUUGGACAAUGGGCGAAAGCCUGAUCCAGCCAUGCCGCGUGAAGGAUGAAGGCCUUCGGGUUGUAAACUGCUUUUGUACGGAAAGAAAAGCCUCUUUCUAAUAAAGAGGGGUCAUGACGGUACCGUAAGAAUAAGCACCGGCUAACUACGUG
rnacentral:rRNA from 1 species